rnacentral:lncRNA from 1 species
CCAAAUUUGUUAAGAAAAAACACCGAGCUAUGAUACAAUUCAUAGUUAUUCCCCUGUUUAUUAUUAUUAUUAUUAUUAUUUUUUAUUUUUUUGGAUUGGUAGUCAUUGACCUGCGCUGCCCAUGUCGCCGAUAUCGUGCCAGUAUAGAAAACCAUAUCGGUCCGACAUCGGCGCGAUGUGAAAUGCUUGCUGGAAUUUCUGAGUUCCUCAAGGGGAGGUGGGAGAGGGAAUCGCACUGAGCCUUACCUAUGCACCAAAUACGGCAGCACUACACAAAAAGAAUUAUUUCUAUGCAAUAGCUGUGAUGGAACAUACAACUGGCAGAAGUGUGUAAGAGCCCAUGAAAGAAAGCACAGGCGGUCAACACUAAAUAGGUUCGACAGCAGUAUGGUCGAAGAUAAAAGCCUAUCACCUAAUACAUAGGAAAAACAAACAUUUUUAUUAAACAAUUACAUUUUACUACAUAAAUGUAUUAUGAGCAGUGAUGUAACAUUAUCCAUUAGCCAUGUAGCUCUUGGAAACAUUUAGUAGAGCUUCUGGCCUGGGUGCCGGAGGUCAUGGGUUUGCUUACCGUCAGCGUCAUACCAAAGGCUUUACACAAUCGUACCAAUAGUUCCUUUCCUUGGCACUCAGUAGGAAAAAUAGCUCCCCAUCUCUCAAACCCUUGUGGCGAAGAUCUAUGCCACCAGAAAUGAUUGAGGUGUGGAGAAUAAUUUAUUUGUUUUAUAUUAUGUUUUAUUUCAUAACUUUACUUGUUUCACAAGCAAACCUAAAAUAAACUAGUGUAAACUAG